rnacentral:rRNA from 1 species
AACGAACGCUGGCGGCGUGCCUAACACAUGCAAGUCGAACGAAACGUCCGGGUCUUUGGGCGCAGGGGGGUGGAAGGCGUGGGAAGCUGCCCUUGGGUACGGAAUAACUCCCCGAAAGGGGUGCUAAUGCCAGAGAGGGUCUUAGGACCAAAGAUUUAUGGCCUUUGGUUGGGCGCGCGUUGGAUUCGCUAGUUGGGAGGGUAAUAGCUGACCAAGGGCACGAUCCAGAGCUGGUGUGAGAGGCUGAUCAGCCAGACUGGGACUGGGACACGGCCCAGACUCGUACGGGAGGCAGCAGUGGGGAAUAUUGGACGAUGGGCGAAAGCCUGAUCCAGCAAUGCCGCGUGAGUGAUGAAGGCCUUAGGGUUCUAAAGCUCUUUUGCCCGGGGUGAUAAUGACAGUACCGGGUGAAUAAGCUCCGGCUAACUCCGUG